UACGUAGGGUGCGAGCGUUGUCCGGAAUUAUUGGGCGUAAAGAGCUUGUAGGCGGUUUGUCGCGUCUGCUGUGAAAUCUCAAGGCUCAACCUUGAGCUUGCAGUGGGUACGGGCAGACUAGAGUGUGGUAGGGGAGACUGGAAUUCCUGGUGUAGCGGUGAAAUGCGCAGAUAUCAGGAGGAACACCAAUGGCGAAGGCAGCACUCUGGUACGUGAUUGACGCUGGAGACGCGAAAGCGUGGGGAGCGAACAGG
rnacentral:rRNA from 1 species